UGGGGAAUAUUGGACAAUGGGCGAAAGCCUGAUCCAGCCAUGCCGCGUGUGUGAAGAAGGUCUUCGGAUUGUAAAGCACUUUAAGUUGGGAGGAAGGGCAGUAAGCGAAUACCUUGCUGUUUUGACGUUACCGACAGAAUAAGCACCGGCUAACUCUGUGCCAGCAGCCGCGGUAAUACAGAGGGUGCAAGCGUUAAUCGGAAUUACUGGGCGUAAAGCGCGCGUAGGUGGUUCGUUAAGUUGAAUGUGAAAGCCCCGGGCUCAACCUGGGAACUGCAUCCAAAACUGGCGAGCUAGAGUAGGGCAGAGGGUGGUGGAAUUUCCUGUGUAGCGGUGAAAUGCGUAGAUAUAGGAAGGAACACCAGUGGCGAAGGCGACCACCUGGGCUCAUACUGACACUGAGGUGCGAAAGCGUGGGGAGCAAACAGG
rnacentral:rRNA from 3 species